AGUGAACGCUGGCGGUAGGCCUAACACAUGCAAGUCGAACGGCAGCACAGUAAGAGCUUGCUCUUACGGGUGGCGAGUGGCAGACGGGUGAGGAAUACAUCGGAAUCUACUUUUUCGUGGGGGAUAACGUAGGGAAACUUACGCUAAUACCGCAUACGACCUACGGGUGAAAGCAGGGGAUCUUCGGACCUUGCGCGAUUGAAUGAGCCGAUGUCGGAUUAGCUAGUUGGCGGGGUAAAGGCGCACCAAGGCGACGAUCCGUAGCUGGUCUGAGAGGAUGAUCGGCCACACUGGAACUGAGACACGGUCCAGACUCCUACGGGAGGCAGCAGUGGGGAAUAUUGGACAAUGGGCGCAAGCCUGAUCCAGCCAUACCGCGUGGGUGAAGAAGGCCUUCGGGUUGUAAAGCCCUUUUGUUGGGAAAGAAAAGCAGCAGGUUAAUACCCCGCUGUUCUGACGGUACCCAAAGAAUAAGCACCGGCUAACUUCGUG
rnacentral:rRNA from 1 species